rnacentral:rRNA from 1 species
CGUGGGUAACCUGCCCAAGAGACUGGGAUAACACCUGGAAACAGAUGCUAAUACCGGAUAACAACACUAGACGCAUGUCUAGAGUUUAAAAGGUGGUUCUGCUAUCACUCUUGGAUGGACCUGCGGUGCAUUAGCUAGUUGGUAAGGUAACGGCUUACCAAGGCAAUGAUGCAUAGCCGAGUUGAGAGACUGAUCGGCCACAUUGGGACUGAGACACGGCCCAAACUCCUACGGGAGGCAGCAG